rnacentral:rRNA from 1 species
CUCUUUUCGUUUAUUUGAAAAGUAUAACCUGCCCACUGAUAAAGAAUUAAAGGGCCGCGGUAAUUUGACCGUGCAAAGGUAGCAUAAUCAUUAGUCUCUUAAUUAGAGGCUGGAAUGAAUGGUUGGACGAGAUAUAAUCUGUCUUUUAUUUUAUUUUUGAAUUUAAUUAUUAAGUAAGAAAGCUUAAAUUUAAUUAUGGGACGAGAAGACCCUAUAGAGUUUAAAUAAUUAGUUUACUUGAUUUGUUUAUGAUUAUUUUUUUUGUAAUUUAAUUUUUUUUGUUGGGGUGAUGGGGAGAUAAAUGAAACUCUUUUUAUUGAUUGAUAUUUAUUUAUAGAAUUUUGAUCCAUUAUUAGUGAUUAUAAGACUAAAUUACC